AAUCCAGAGUAAUCAUCCCUGCAUAGUAAGAAAAGUGAAAAACAAAGAAGAAAAGCAACAGCCAGAGAGUAAUCAAUUCGACUUGUUCAAUAUGCACGUGUGUAUAUAUAGUCACCAUCUUCUCAUGUGAUGAUAUUCUAUAUCCACCAUCACAUGAGCGGUCUGAAGAAAACUCAAUAGGAAAAGAGGUUCAAGAAAAAUACCGUCGUCUUCGCUAGCCAUUUCACUCUUUGAACUCGGAGUUUUCUCCAAGGGGCUUCGACUUGCUGCGCACCUUGCUGCUUGGACGGUGAUCUAAGGCCGUGGAAAAGAACCAAAUAGAGAGCACCUUAAGGGAAACUACUGUUAGAGAGUACCUUAAAACUAGAGAGUUUUUCUCUAUGUAUUGCAUAGCUUUAUACAGUAAAUGAAGAGUAUUCUAUGAGAAGUUCGCAAUUUGAAGGCAG
rnacentral:lncRNA from 1 species